GGGAAGAAGCACAAGAAACACAAGGCAGAGAAGGCGGAAUGGCGCUCGACCUCCGCCACCGCCUACAGCGAUUACGUGGAUAAGCCCCUGGAAAAACCUUUAAAGCUGGUGCUUAAAGUUGGAGGAAGUGAAGUGACUGAGCUUUCCGGGUCGGGGCAUGAUUCCAGUUACUAUGACGACAGAUCAGAUCAUGAGCGAGAACGACAUAAAGAAAAGAAGAAAAAAAAGAAAAAGAAGUCUGAGAAGGAAAAAGAAAAGCAUCUAGAUGAUGAGGAAAGAAGAAAGAGAAAGG